AUUGAACGCUGGCGGCAUGCCUAACACAUGCAAGUCGAACGAGUGGCGGACGGGUGAGUACGGUCUGGGAACAUUACUGAUGGAGGGGGAUAACUACUGGAAACGGUAGCUAAUACCGCAUACCAUCAGCUGUGUCCAUAUGGGAUUAUCUUGGUGGUGGGGUAACGGCUCACAAAGGCGACGAUCCCUAGCUGGUCUGAGAGGAUGACCAGCCAUACUGGCACUGAGCCACGGUCCAGACGCAUACGGGAGGCAGCAGUGUGGAAUAUUGAACAAUGGGGGCAACCCUGAUGCAGCCAUGCCGCGUGUAUGAAGAAGGCCUUCGGGUUGUAAAGUACUUUCGGCGGGGAGGCGUUACCCGCAGAAGAAGCACCGGCUAACUCCGUGCCAGCAGCCGCGGUAAUAC
rnacentral:rRNA from 1 species